UUACUACAAUAUUCCAUUUUAAUGUAAUGAAGUAAAUAAUACCGAUUAUAUUUGCAUGAGUCUUUUAAUUAAAUGAAUAUAUUUCAUUUUUAUUCACAUUAUUAAAAGAGUAGGAUAUUUGUGGAACUCAAUUUAACAGUUCAUGGAAAUAAUAUUUAAGGUGUGUGUGUGUUGGAGAGAGAGAGUAUGUGUGUGUGUGUGUGUGAGAGAGAGAGAGACUGUGUGUGUGUGUGUGUGUGAGAGAGAGAGAGAAAGUAUAUGUGUAUGCAGUGGUGGAUUUAGGCAUAGGUGACAUGGGCAGCCGCCCAGGGUGGUAUCUUGCCGGGGGCGGCAUGGGGGCAAAAAAAUAUUCCGAAUGGUGACAUUUGUGCGAUCGGAUUUCUAUCACUCAUUUGAACGUCACGUCAAUGAUAUCAUGUCACCGUGUGGGACUGUGGGUCAAUUAACCUUGUCGGAGUGGGGGCCCUGAUGCUAGUUUGUGAGCUUGGCAGGCUACUGCCUGGGAAGGUCUCCCACUCAGAAGUACGAGAUGGAAGGGGGCGGGGGUAGGUUGACCUCAGGUCUCCCCACUAGAAGCCAGAGGUAGGGGAAGCGGGGGUAGGUUGACCUCAGGUCUCCCCACUAGAAGCCAGAGGUAGGGGGGGCGGGGGUAGGUUGACCUCAGGUCUCCCCACUAGAAGCCAGAGGUAGGGAGGGGCGAGGGUAGGUUGACCUCAGGUCUCCCCACUGGAAGCCAGAGGUAGGGGGAUGGGGGUAGGUUGACCUCAGGUCUCCCCACUGGAAGACAGAGGUAGGGGGAGCAGGGGUAGGUUGACCUCAGGUCUCCCCACUGGAAGCCAGAGGUAGGGGGAGCGGGGGUAGGUUGACCUCAGGUCUCCCCACUGGAAGCCAGAGGUAGGGGGAUGGGGGUAGGUUGACCUCAGGUCUCCCCACUAGAAGCCAGAGGUAGGGCUAGCGGGGGUAUGUUGACCUCAGGUCUCCCCACUGGAAGCCAGAGGUAGGGGGAGCGGGGGUAUGUUGACCUCAGGUCUCCCCACUAGAAGCCAGAGGUAGGGGGAGCGGGGGUAGGUUGACCUCAGGUCUCCCCACUGGAAGCCAGAGGUAGGGGGAGCGGGUAUAGGUUGACCUCAGGUCUCCCCACUGGAAGCCAGAGGUAGGGGGAGCGGGGAUAGGUUGACCUCAGGUCUCCCCACUAGAAGACAGAGGUAGGGGGAGCGGGGGUAGGUUGACCUCAGGUCUCCCCACUAGAAGCCAGAGGUAGGGGGAGUGGGGGUAGGUUGACCUCAGGUCUCCCCACUAGAAGCCAGAGGUAGGGGGAGUGGGGGUAGGUUGACCUCAGGUCUCCCCACUAGAAGACAGAGGUAGGGGAAGCGGGGGUAGGUUGACCUCAGGUCUCCUCACUAGAAGCCAGAGGUAGGGGGAGUGGGGGUAUGUUGACCUCAGGUCUCCCCACUGGAAGCCAGAGGUAGGGGGAGCGGGGGUAGGUUGACCUCAGGUCUCCCCACUAGAAGCCAGAGGUAGGGGGAGCGGGGGUAUGUUGACCUCAGGUCUCCCCACUAGAAGCCAGAGGUAGGGGGAGCGGGUUUAUGUUGACCUCAGGUCUCCCCACUGGAAGCCAGAGGUAGGGGGAGCAGGGGUAUGUUGACCUCAGGUCUCCCCACUGGAAGACAGAGGUAGGGGGAGCGGGGGUAUGUUGACCUCAGGUCUCCCCACUAGAAGCCAGAGGUAGGGGGAGCGGGGGUAUGUUGACCUCAGGUCUCCCCACUGGAAGACAGAGGUAGGGGGAGCGGGGGUAUG
rnacentral:lncRNA from 1 species